rnacentral:misc_RNA from 1 species
AUUUCCCCAAUGGGUUCUCCGGAUUUCUGGAGACUUGUAGGGGUUGUGGGAUUUUUGAUGUGUCGUCUCCGGACGGGCGGUGCAGGGUAGUCGAGUUAGACUUGGUGGAAUUCCGUCGAUAGGAGUUCCGUCGAGUCUGGUCGGCUGUGUGUUGGACGGUGCAGGGUAGGCUGCUUGGACAUGGUCGGUUCGAGGAUCGAUUCGAGGGCCGGCGCCUGUCGAUGAUGUGUGAAGUAUGCGGUCUAGGGUAGGCUGGUUUGUCUUGUUUCAAUUUGAUGUCGGCUCCCGUGCAGGCCAGAGUGAGGGGGGUCCGGGGUAGGUACAGGGUAGGCAGCUUAGAUUUGGUCGAUCUGGAGGUCGAUUCUCCGGCUGGCGGAUCUGACACUGUCGAAACGAGAUGCGAGCGGUGUAGGGUAGGCUAGUUUCGUCCUCGCCAGGUUGCGAUUUGGACGAGAUAUGUGGUUUAGGGUAUGCUCUAGGGUAAGUAGAAUUCGAGUUUCGUCGCCGACAGUUAUCUGUGGGUGUAUGGUAGGUACAGGGUAGGCAAAUCUCUCUCCGGCCAGUACUUGUCUGGUGGUCGUGAGUCGAUUUUUUUGUUUU